UAGGAGAUGGUGUAAUGGAAACGCUUGGGGCCUUGACCUUCAAUACGAAGGUUCAAGUCCUUCUCUCCUAA
rnacentral:tRNA from 1 species